GCGAGGGUUGCCGAGCUAGGUCAAAGGCGCAAGGUUGAGGGCNNGGGCGUUCGAAUCGCCUCCCUCGCA
rnacentral:tRNA from 1 species